rnacentral:rRNA from 1 species
GCUACGAAACUAGCCUAACCAAAACUCUUACCCCCAAAUUGUUAAUGUUAAGAAAAAAACGUUAUCAACACCAAACAAAACAUUUUUCCCCCUAAGUACGGGCGACGGAAAAGGAACCC